rnacentral:rRNA from 1 species
GACGAACGCUGGCGGCGUGCUUAACACAUGCAAGUCGAACGGUGACCCAGGGCUUGCCCUGGUGAUCAGUGGCGAACGGUGAGUAACACGUGGGCAACCUGCCCCUGACUUCGGGAUAACUCCUCGAAAGAGGAGCUAAUACCGGAUACGACCACUUCGGACAUCCGAUGGUGGUGGAAAGUUUUUCGGUCAGGGAUGGGCCCGCGGCCUAUCAGCUAGUUGGUGGGGUAAUGGCCUACCAAGGCGACGACGGGUAGCCGGCCUGAGAGGGCGACCGGCCACACUGGGACUGAGACACGGGCCCAGACUCCUACGGGAGGCAGCAGUGGGGAAUAUUGCGCAAUGGGCGAAAGCCUGACGCAGCGACGCCGCGUGAGGGAUGAAGGCC